rnacentral:tRNA from 1 species
GGGGGGGACGUUCCUCCCAAGGACUAUC